rnacentral:lncRNA from 1 species
AUCAGUAAUAAUGCUGUAUAAUAAUAAAAAAUUAGGUUAAUUUCAUAUAAGUCUCUGCAAACAUAGUGAAUAACAGAUAUAUUCCUGUAAAGUUUAAUUUUCAUAAGUUAAUCCUGCAAAAAUCCUAAUAUAUUCAGAUAUGUUCCUACCGCUAAUCUCUGUUAGACAAAUCUAAUUAACCACAGUUAAAAUACUUAAUCAUGGUCAGUUAAUAAGGUAAAAUGAUAUUUUUAUCCUUCUUCAUCUUCCUCUCCUGCUUCUUCUUCUUCUUCGUAUCUUCAUGUUCCUCCUCCUUUUCUUCUCCAUCUUCUUCUUCUUCGUCGUCGUCGUCGAUGAUCCAAUCGUCGUCGCCGUCGUGGUGCCUGCGUGGGCCAUCGUCACGGGCGCCUCCGACGGCAUCGGCCACGCCGUAGCCCCAACAAGCUCCGCAAUUCCGUUGGCCGCAACCCCGACAAGCUCCGCAAGGUCGCCGUCACUGCCGCCGCCGUCCACUCCCAAGCCGGAAGAGGAAGAGGAAGAGGAAGAGGGUAAAAUUAUCAUUUCACACAUCUGUUGUUAAAAAAUUAACAGUUUUCUAACUGAUCUCAACCAGAGGAACAUAUCUGAAUACAUUAGGAUUUUUAUAGAGAUAACUUAUGAAAAUUAAAUUUUGCAGAGAUAAAUUUACUAUUCAUUAUGUUUGCGGGGACUUAUAUGAAAUUUACCCUAAAAAAUUUGUAAUUUCUCUGCUACUCAU